CGACCUCAGAUCAGACGUGGCGACCCGCUGAAUUUAAGCAUAUUAGUCAGCGGAGGAAAAGAAACUAACGAGGAUUCCCUCAGUAACGGCGAGUGAAGAGGGAAGAGCCCAGCGCCGAAUCCCCGCCCCGCGGUGGGGCGCGGGACAUGUGGCGUACAGAAGCCCCCCUCCCCGGCGGCGCUCUCGGGGGACCCAAGUCCUUGUGAUCGAGGCCGCAGCCCGCGGACGGUGUGAGGCCGGUAGCGGCCCCCCGGCGCGCCGGGCCCGGGGCUUCUCGGAGUCGGGUUGCUUGGGAAUGCAGCCCAAAGCGGG
rfam:Mesitornis unicolor contig112812, whole genome shotgun sequence.